GGUUCAGUCCAUUAUUGAGGUUGUUCGUCCUCCUUAGGUGCAUCUUGAUGGGCUUCUAAACGAGAUUGGCCAUCCCUUGACUUCUCUUGAUCAGCUUGGGUGAUAGCUUGCAUUAUGAUUUUAUUGACUUCUGUUGAAGUAUCAUAUAUCUUUGUCUUGUCAUAGCUCCUUGAUGAAUGGUCGGCACUUCCACAUCUUGUAGUUGUGGCUCAGUUAAGUUUGGUUCAGCUUGAAAGGCCUCAUCAAUUAGGGAUCUGCUUGUUCAGCCAAUGCGUGAUUGCACACCACGGCCUAUAUGAUAAGGUACGCUUUCCAAAUCUCGCUCCAUUCAAUUUGAAGAGAAAAGACUAAUUAUGAUAUGGGGAGAGACCUUUAC
rnacentral:lncRNA from 1 species